AGAGUUUGAUCCUGGCUCAGAGCGAACGCUGGCGGCAGGCUUAACACAUGCAAGUCGAACGCAUCCUUCGGGGUGAGUGGCAGACGGGUGAGUAACGCGUGGGAACGUGCCCUUCAGUUCGGAAUAACCCAGGGAAACUUGGGCUAAUACCGGAUACGUGCGAGAGCAGAAAGAUUUAUCGCUGAAGGAUCGGCCCGCGUCUGAUUAGCUAGUUGGUGAGGUAAUGGCUCACCAAGGCGACGAUCAGUAGCUGGUCUGAGAGGAUGAUCAGCCACAUUGGGACUGAGACACGGCCCAAACUCCUACGGGAGGCAGCAGUGGGGAAUAUUGGACAAUGGGCGCAAGCCUGAUCCAGCCAUGCCGCGUGAGUGAUGAAGGCCUUAGGGUUGUAAAGCUCUUUCGUCCGGGACGAUAAUGACGGUACCGGAAGAAGAAGCCCCGGCUAACUUCGUGCCAGCAGCCGCGGUAAUACGAAGGGGGCUAGCGUUGUUCGGAAUCACUGGGCGUAAAGGGCGCGUAGGCGGCUUGAUAAGUCGGGGGUGAAAGCCUGUGGCUCAACCACAGAAUUGCCUUCGAUACUGUCUGGCUUGAGACCGGAAGAGGUAAGUGGAACUGCGAGUGUAGAGGUGAAAUUCGUAGAUAUUCGCAAGAACACCAGUGGCGAAGGCGGCUUACUGGUCCGGUUCUGACGCUGAGNNGCGAAAGCGUGNNNACAAACAGGAUUAGAUACCCUAGUAGUCC
rnacentral:rRNA from 1 species